GUGCCAGCCGCCGCGGUAAUACGUAGGGGGCGAGCGUUAUCCGGAUUCAUUGGGCGUAAAGAGCGCGUAGGCGGCUUGUUAAGCGAGAUGUGAAAACCGGGGGCUUAACCCGCGGCCUGCAUCUCGAACUGGCAGGCUUGAGUCUGGUAGAGGAGUGUGGAAUUCCCAGUGUAGCGGUGAAAUGCGCAGAUAUUGGGAGGAACACCAGUGGCGAAGGCGGCACUCUGGGCCACGACUGACGCUGAGGCGCGAAAGCUAGGGGAGCGAACAGGAUUAGAUACCCUAGUAGUCC
rnacentral:rRNA from 1 species